rnacentral:rRNA from 1 species
AAGAUUUGAGUUUGAGCGCAGGUGCUGGGACCCGAAAGAUGGUGAACUAUGCCUGAAUAGGUUGAAGUCAGACGAAAGUCUGAUGGAGGACCGUAGCGUUUCUGACGUGCAAAUCGAUCGUCAAAUUUGGGUAUAGGGGCGAAAGACUAAUCGAAUCAUCUAGUAGCUGGUUCCCUCCGAAAUUUCCCUCAGGAUAGCUUCGACUUAUACAGUUGCAUCAGGUAAAGCGAAUGAUUAGUGGAUUCAGGAGCGCAAUGCUCUUGACCAAUUCUCAAACUUUAAAUGGGUGCGAUGCUAUGGUUGCUUUAUUGAACCAUUGGCUUUUGAAUGGAAGUCGUUAGUGGGCCAACUUUGGUAAGCAGAAUUGGCAAUGCGGGAUGCUCCGAACGUUGAGGUAAAGUGCCAAACUCCCCGCUCAUUCGACCCCAUAAAAGGUGUUGAUUCAUUUAGACAGUAGGUCGGUGGCCAUGGAAGUCGGAACCCGCUAAGAAGUGUGUAACAACUUACCUACCGAAUGGAUCAGUCCUGAAAAUGGAUGGCGCUCAAGCGGGGGACUUAUUCUCAACCAUUGAAAUAAAUGUUAUAUUUCAAUGAGUAGGAGGGCGUGCGGGUUGCUUAGAAGCUUUUGGCGUAAGCCAGAGUGAAGCUGCCUGUAGUGCAGAUCUUGGUGGUAGUAGCAAAUAUUCAUAUGAGACCUAUGAAGACAGAUGCGA